rnacentral:rRNA from 1 species
GAUGAACGCUGGCGGCGUGCCUAAUACAUGCAAGUCGAGCGAACAGAUAAGGAGCUUGCUCCUUUGACGUUAGCGGCGGACGGGUGAGUAACACGUGGGUAACCUACCUAUAAGACUGGGAUAACUUCGGGAAACCGGAGCUAAUACCGGAUAACAUUUGGAACCGCAUGGUUCUAAAGUGAAAGAUGGUUUUGCUAUCACUUAUAGAUGGACCCGCGCCGUAUUAGCUAGUUGGUAAGGUAACGGCUUACCAAGGCAACGAUACGUAGCCGGCCUGAGAGGGUGAUCGGCCACACUGGAACUGAGACACGGUCCAGACUCCUACGGGAGGCAGCAGUAGGGAAUCUUCCGCAAUGGGCGAAAGCCUGACGGAGCAACGCCGCGUGAGUGAUGAAGGGUUUCGGCUCGUAAAACUCUGUUAUUAGGGAAGAACAAACGUGUAAGUAACUGUGCACGUCUUGACGGUACCUAAUCAGAAAGCCACGGCUAACUACGUG